rnacentral:lncRNA from 1 species
AAUUUUUGGUUAAAUUCGGUCAAAUCGGAAUCGUAAAAUAUGCACUUUUUCUCGUCAUUUCUCCGUUGACUCAAUGUUAAAUUACCGAUACCCAUGUCUCCGUUUACAACAAAUAAAGAAAUUUUGUAAAUAAAACACAAACUUUGCAAAUCGAUUAAGUAUAUUCAAACAUAUAGCUGGCGAAAAAUACUACUUAAAACAGUUUAAUUUCAGGGCAAAUUCGGUCAAACAUCGAUUUAAAAAAGGGAAUUUUCCGAGAUUUUUCAAAAUGGCGGCUGAUGUAUCAUAUGGAAAUGUUGCAUCAAAUCAAUGAUUUCUAUAGUAAGACUUUCCUAGAUUAUAUUUAAUAUUCUAUAAAUAAUCUCUGAUGUUUCUGUUAUUUUCCUUUAGUGAUAUUUCGAUAUCAUUGAUUUCAAAAUUUCUUAAUAAAAAAAAAUAUUUUAAGU